UGCAAGAGAACUUUUUCUGUUGUGAGCAGA
rnacentral:piRNA from 1 species